GGUGCCAUAGCUCAGCUGGGAGAGCACCUGCUUUGCACGCAGUGGGUCAGCGGUUCGAUCCCGCUUGGCUCCACCA
rnacentral:tRNA from 1 species